rnacentral:rRNA from 1 species
AGAGUUUGAUCCUGGCUCAGGACGAACGCUGGCGGCGUGCUUAACACAUGCAAGUCGAACGAGAGGACAAGAGAAGCUUGCUUCUUUUGGAAUCGAGUGGCAAACGGGUGAGUAACACGUAAACAACCUGCCUUCAGGAUGGGGACAACAGACGGAAACGACUGCUAAUACCGAAUACGCUUGGAAGACCGCAUGAUCUUCCAAGGAAAGGGUGGCCUCUACCUGUAAGCUAUCGCCUGAAGAGGGGUUUGCGUCUGAUUAGGCAGUUGGUGAGGUAACGGCCCACCAAACCUACGAUCAGUAGCCGGUCUGAGAGGAUGAACGGCCACACUGGAACUGAGACACGGUCCAGACUCCUACGGGAGGCAGCAGUGGGGAAUCUUCCGCAAUGGGCGAAAGCCUGACGGAGCAACGCCGCGUGAGUGAUGACGGCCUUCGGGUUGUAAAGCUCUGUGAUCGGGGACGAACGGUCCGUAAGUCAAUACCUUAUGGAAGUGACGGUACCCGAAUAGCAAGCCACGGCUAACUACGUGCCAGCAGCCGCGGUAAUACGUAGGUGGCAAGCGUUGUCCGGAAUUAUUGGGCGUAAAGCGCGCGCAGGCGGCUUUCUAAGUCCAUCUUAAAAGUGCGGGGCUUAACCCCGUGAUGGGAUGGAAACUGGAAAGCUGGAGUAUCGGAGAGGAAAGUGGAAUUCCUAGUGUAGCGGUGAAAUGCGUAGAGAUUAGGAAGAACACCGGUGGCGAAGGCGACUUUCUGGACGACAACUGACGCUGAGGCGCGAAAGCGUGGGGAGCAAACAGGAUUAGAUACCCUGGUAGUCCGCACGGUAAACGAUGGAUGCUCGCUGUGUGCCCUUGGGUACGCGGCCAAGCGAAAGCGUUAAGCAUCCCACCUGGGGAGUACGCCGGCAACGGUGAAACUCAAAGGAAUUGACGGGGGCCCGCACAAGCGGAGGAACAUGUGGUUUAAUUCGAUGAUACGCGAGGAACCUUACCCGGGCUUGAAUUGCAGGAGAACGAUACAGAGAUGUUGAGGUCCUUCGGGACUCCUGUGAAGGUGCUGCAUGGUUGUCGUCAGCUCGUGCCGUGAGGUGUCGGCUUAAGUGCCAUAACGAGCGCAACCCCUCUCCGUAGUUGCCAUCAGGUGAUGCUGGGCACUCUGCGGACACUGCCGCCGUAAGGUGUGAGGAAGGUGGGGAUGACGUCAAAUCAGCACGGCCCUUACGUCCGGGGCUACACACGUGUUACAAUGGGUCAUACAGAGUGUUGUGCGUAUGCAAAUACGUUCUAAUCAUUAAAAUGAUCCUCAGUUCGGAUUGGGGUCUGCAACCCGACCCCAUGAAGCUGGAUUCGCUAGUAAUCGCGCAUCAGCCAUGGCGCGGUGAAUACGUUCCCGGGCCUUGUACACACCGCCCGUCAAGCCAUGAAAGCCGGGGGCGCCUGAAGUCCGUAACCGCAAGGAUCGGCCUAGGGUGAAACCGGUGAUUGGGGCUAAGUCGUAACAAGGUA